rnacentral:misc_RNA from 1 species
CUCUCUCUCUCUCUCUCUCUUUCUUAUCUGUAUUAUUACUGUUUCCCUCUUUCUCUAUUGAAGAUCUUUUGAGGUUGAGAUGGAUCAUGAGAAAAGGUGGCAUCACUGGGUACGACGAGUUGGAAGGCAGCAACGAGACUGCACUGAUUGAUAUGACGCCAUUUUACUAACCUUUUCGGCGCGGUUCGUGGUUGAUCACGGAUAGUAAAACAUUUUGUAUUAUCAUUUACGAGCGUUAUCGCGAUAUCCGCGUACAGUCGAUCUCCCAUAUUUUUUGAGGAAAAACACGAAGAACGAAUUUGACCAGGACUGUACCGGGAAGUGAAAAGAGUCCGGGCUAGUGAUUCGAAGUAAAACCCUUUACAAGGAGUAAAAAAGUUACGCGCCGUUCUUUCUUCUACCAUUCGACCUCGCCGACCGGUCACUCUCGGAUUCUACGUCUUCAUAAACUUCUAAUAAUUCGUCAUCAUUGUUUAGCUUAUGUGCUUCAUCUUUAAUGCGAGUUCGAUCAUUCUUUCGGCUUCAACACACCGGCCAAGGAGGGAAAAUUAAAGUAUGCAGCAUCAUGUAUGAGACUUCAUAAUGUUUUCAACGAAGAUCUACGAUGCACAGUUUACGUAUUUCGUAGUAAACGUUUGCGUUCUUAAAUUAAUGCAGGUAACAUUGUUCUAGCAGUCUGCAUUAUUAUGGAAGAUGAAGAUGGUGAGGGUAAAAUUAUGGACAUGUGGAGUAUUUUGGGAGAUCAACAGCUCAAAGAUCCAACAUUUGGCAAUACUUUAAAACAUUCUGUUGAUAACUUGUAUAUCGAUACAAUCGAAGAAGAGAAACGAAUAAAUAGAUAUAAUAUAGUAACUCCUAAAGACUCGCCAAGUAGGAAUACCAGUAGCGGAUCAAAAAGUGUGUUCAAAGGUUUUAAGAAACGUAUUUUGGCUCAAGCUCAGGAAACACAAUCGGUUGCAUCUAAAAGUUCUCCAGAGCAAGUAUCUCAUCCCAAUGUAUUAUCGAAAAUUACUAAAGAGAAAAGAAUAGAAAAUAAAAGGGGGAAGAUAACAGAGUAUGCUCAAUAUUUGGGUCUUCAACCUUCUUCAAAGUUAAAGUGUUCCAAGUGUUAUUCUUCAACAAAUUUGAAUUUAAAACAAAGUCAGUGUAUGUGUAAUACUGCCAUGGCACCGAUGCAAGGAUUACCGAGCACUUCUGAAGCAUCCUCUCAGUCACACUCUCCUAAUUUUAAAAUUGCAAGGAAAGUAUAUUUGUGUUCAGCUUGCGACACAUACUUUGAAAAUUGGAAUUUGUUUUUACAUAUGAGAGAUAAACAUAAACGUCAUAUAUGUCUGUUUUGCUUAGGAAUGUUUGGACAAGCAGAAAGGUUAUCUUAUCAUUUGUAUAAAACGCAUAGCAUACCACAUAUGGGAUUUAACACUGUCGAAGACUUUUACAGUGCUUUCAAAGGAUCAUGUUAUUUGAUUUGUUGUACUUGUGAAAAGAUGUUUUCUGAAACAGAUAAUUUCAGUAGCCACUACUGUUCUCCUUUGACUAAACAGGAAGAUACUACAAGUGUUUGCAAUUUAUUUCAAACAAGCUCACAUGCGAAGUCUUGUACACUAGCAGUUGAACCUAAUAAAGAUGCAAAUCUUACGGUACCUAUUACAACUAUGCAAACAGAAAUGGUAUCAACAAUUUCUAUUGAGAAACCAUCAAAUAUGAAUAAUAAAGGAACAUCAAAGAAAAUGAUUAAAAAUAAUAGAAAUAAAUAUGGAGAGAAAAGUAUAUCUAAUUCAUGUCAACAAAAUGCGAAAAAAGUUAACGCUAAAGUAGGGAUUACUCAAUCCAGCGAAAAUCAACUUUCUUCGGAUAGUACAGUAAUUAGAGAUAGAAAUGUACAAGAUGAGACAGUAGUUAAUAUAGCUAGAGAUACAGUAUUAGAAACAAUAAUGGAAGUAUCUAAAUGUAUUGAUGAAUCAUGCAUCAGCGAAAUAGAACAGAAAGAUCAUAUUCCUUCUGUAACAAAAAUAUCUCCAGAAAAAUCACAGACUCAAAAUAAUAAACAAAUAGAACCUUAUGAUAGUAUAACUCAAACAAUUAUGGAAGUUUCACGUUGUACAAAUGACACCGAAGAUGAUGAAGAUAUGCCAAACGAAAAUGCAAAUCAGUCUGAUGCAGCAGACAUAACUAAUAAGACAGAGUCGGAGACUGAAAAUAGCAUUCCUGUAGAACCCACAAUUAUAGAAGAAUCACAUGAAAUUAAUUCCGAAAAUCAAAUAAAAAAAGAAACAGAUACUGUUGAAAAAGGUGAAACGUUAGAAAUGUCAAAAACAAAAUUUGACUCAGAGUCUCACUCAUCAUCAAGUCCUGUUCAUAGUCCAAUUAGUAGAUCAUUGUUUAGUCCUCAACAUGAAUCGCAGCAGGAUCUCCAACCAAAGGAAGAGUAUCCUGAUGAUGGUAGUAAACACGUGGAGGCUGCGCCGCCUACAGAAUCUCAAACAUCAGUUUCGUUUAAUACUGCCCCAGUAUCUGAUAGAAGUUUAGUAAUUAAAAUUUGUACAAAUAAGAAUUCACAAUUUUCUGUAAGUUCGACGGCAAGUGUAGAAACUCAUAAUAUUAGUAGAGAUUCUGAAGAGAAUAACAAUGCAGAAGAAGAUUCAUCAUCAGAUGAAAAACUUUUAGGUUUUACUCAGAAAGAUAAAGUUAGUAUAGAAAGUAAUCAAAUAAACGAAGCUGAUAGCGAUUCCGAUAGUUAUAAAUUAGCUGUAGUAGAUAGUAAUGCAGAAGAUGAUAUUAAAGAAUUAGAUAAGCCUGAAGAUAAAGUAGAAGCUAAAGGAAGUACGGAAAUUAUAGGAAAUACUAAUACUUACGAAGAGAAAGAGGAAUUUGCAAUAGGUGAUAAUACAAAUGUUGAACUUAGCACAACAACAGAACAAUAUAAUAAUGAUGCGACAAAAGAUGUCAUAAAUUCGGAAUUAAUAUCUCAACCGAAUGAUGGAAUAAUCUUAGCUGGAGAAGAUGUCCCACCUAUAGACCUUAAUGUGGAAGGUACAUUAGAUAGUACAAAGUUAGAAGACUUAUUGAAAAAAUGUAUAGAAGCAGCCAGUCCAUUAUGUGUCUACUGCAAUCACGCACGCCAUAUAGCUGUCAAUGGAAAACAAUUAGGAUUACAUAUGUUAGCUGAACAUAAAUUUCAUCCGCAGCAUCCAGCUAUAAUCAUACAACCAGAGCAAUUUACAGUAAGAGUUAAAAAAUCACUUGAUGAACAGGAAACUAAUUUUUUCAAUCUUGACACGUACAGCAGCACAAAUGGUACCUAUAAUAUUCAAACUUUUAGGACAUACGAGUGUUUUCAUUGUAGAUAUAAUUCUACAAUACAUAAAGAACUAUAUUCUCACCACAGAAAAAUGCAUCAAAAAACAAUUUUAAUUUGUAUAAUGUGUAAAUCAACGUUUUAUAGUUACAGUGAAUUGUUGUGUCAUUUAUGUCCAGGCAUAUAUUUACCAAAUAUGAGUGUCAAGUAUAGAUGUUGUCUCUGUUCUAUUAGUAGUCUUCCAUCUGCAUUCAGAUUAAUGGUACAUCUGAGAAAGAGUCAUCAUGCUUGUGAUGUAUGUUUGGAGACUACUGGAAAUCAACAACGAUUGUCAAAUCAUGUAUGGAAACACAAACUUCAUCAUUUGUGUUAUCGAUGUGGUAUUGCAUAUAGAAAUAAACCUGACAUUACAAAACAUCUUUUCUGGAAGCAUGGUACUGAGAGUGUUUUAUGUAAAAAAUGUUUACAAAAGAAAUGGCCACAUAUUUAUCAUUUCUGUAUCCCACCUACAGUUUUUACUUGCGAAGAAUGUGGUUCCAGCUUUAGUCGAGCUGUAGCAUGGAAAGUUCAUAAGAGAUUACAUUCAGGAGAUCAACCAUAUAGUUGUAGCAAAUGUUCAAGUCGUUUUAUCUCGCGAAGGCUCUUAGCUAAACACGCAGAAAGUCAUAAAGAACCAGUAUUAAUAGAUGUCUGUACGGUAGAUGCGGCAAACAAUCAAAUUUUGGUUGACGAUGACAAAUGUGACAAAGAAAAAACAAGUAUCGUAGAUAUCACAUCAAACACCUCAAAUGAUACAAAAGAUGUGAAAGAGACUAUGAAAAAAGUAGUUGAUGUUUAUGAUUUACCGCCGCUCAAUUUAUCCUCAGAAAGUGAAAGCGAAAUGGAAGAUGCAAAGGAUGAUUCAAAAAAGAAUGAAGAAAGUGCAGAAAAAAAUGAAGUAAUAGAACAGAAGACAGAAGAAACAAUAUCACUUGCAACAUCUGUUAAAGUAGAAUCACCAGUACAAACAAACGAUAAUAUAGUGGAUGAAGAAGAAAAUGAAGAGGAAAAGAAACAAGAAGCGAAAAUAAUGGAUGGUAUUUGGGAUAAUUUCAAAACAUAUGCAGCUAGUUUAGAGAUGCAAGAGUCAGCAAAUCUAUCCAACAAAGAAACCGGACCUGAAAUAGAUGUUGCAUAUUUAAGGAGUAUAGUUUUGGCUGAUCAUGAUUAUUGCAUCGUAUGGUCAGAGAAAGAUAAAAAUACCGAGGAUGGAAUGAAAGAAGAUGAAAAAGGAACAGAUAAUGCAGAUUUCUCUGAUUACCCUAGUAAGCUUCAAAGAAGUCCAUCCGCUGGUAGUUUAGCACAACAAAAUACUGGCUGUGAGAGCGAUGUAAAUAAAAAGAAAGGAAAAAGCCCUAAAAAGAAAAAACAGAAUGGUAGUACUUCUUCAAGUGAUUCUUCUAGCGAAAGUGAUUCGAGCAGCUGUUCUUGUGGUACCAAUUGCAGUUGUAGUAGCUCAUCUUCUGGUAGUUCCUCAAGUUCUAGUAGUAGCUCUGACUCCGAUAGUUCAGCAUCGGAAAGUUCUCCUCGUAAAUCGUCGAAAAAUAAAGAACGUAAAAAGGAAAAAGAGGUCGUUGAACAAGAAGAACAAGGUAUUCCAGCAGAAACUGAAAAUAAAGAAGUAGUAGUCGAUGUAAUCGACGCACCAAUCGAACCGACUUCUCCUCCAAAACUAUUAUUGAGAGAAUCAGAUUUGGAAACAGAUGAAACUAUAACAGACGAGGACUUUUAUGACGAGCAUCCACAGCAGCUCGCUAAUAAAAUAAUGGCAGAAAAACGAAAUCAACUAUUAUUACUUGCAGAGGUUGCACCACCUUCGACUGAUUCGGUACUUCCUUUAAAUAAUGGUAUUACGGACGAAAGUUAUGUUACUCCUUCGCCAAAUCCAGCAUCGAGUGUCGAGGAUCAACAACUUCAACAAAGGAAAAAAGUAAAAACAAAAAAACGUAAACGAGGUGAGAGGGUUAAGCAACGAGUCGUUACUCCAAUGGUAGAAUCAUUGAAGCUUAACAUACCUAAAGUGUAUUACCAAAAGAAUUCGAACUUCUCCGUAAUGGGUCAUCAUCAACUUGGUAGAUCGACGCCGAAUCUUAUCACGAAUAAUAUUCAGACGACUGUAACGGCGGUCGAAUCUAAUUCUCAUGCAAAUCAGAAUAUCGGUGGUAGCGGCUCUGAGACGGAGAAUAAAAGGUCAUCAAAGAGAAAACGUAUACCAAAACGAUUUUACGGCGACUCCAGCGACGAGGAAACGGAAAAGCAACCGACAAUGAAAUGGAGAAAGGUUGUCGAACCACCGUCUUUCGUACCUGCGACGCAACCGAAACCUUUACAACAAAGAUUAUCUUUUGGUGGGAAGACCGUGGCUUAUAGAGCAAACGUCGCUGAGCCAGAACCUAUUGUGAACGUGACGGGUACGUCUGCGACAGAAUCCGAGGAACCAGCAGAUACUAGUAGCGAAUCUAGUGGUUCUGACGUUGACGCGUCAAUGCAUCAGCAACCGCAGGGUAACUCAGUUUCAGAGAGUACCACUUCGGUUCCAGAACGUUCUGUUAAUCUUUAUUGUUACUGUCAAUGUCCCUACGACGAGGUAUCCGAAAUGAUUGCUUGUGACGGCCGGGACUGUCGUAUUGAAUGGUUUCAUUUCGAGUGUGUUGGCAUUAUGAUACCCCCUAAGGGCAAGUGGUAUUGUCCAGACUGUAGGAAAAAACAUGGUAUUAUGCAAAAUAGUGAGGAAUGUUUCGAUUGAUAACAAUACGCGGUAUCUACUUCAUUGUCAGUCUUCUAAAGAUGUCAUGGAUAUUAAAAAAGAUACUCAACGGAAUAAGCCAUGUAAGUUGAGCAUUUGGUGAAG